rnacentral:rRNA from 1 species
GACGAACGCUGGCGGCGUGCCUAAUACAUGCAAGUUGAGCGCUGAAGGUUGGUCCUUGUACCAACUGGGUGAGCAGCGAACGGGUGAGUAACGCGUGGGGAAUCUGCCUUUGAGCGGGGGACAACAUUUGGAAACGAAUGCUAAUACCGCAUAAAAACUUUAAACACAAGUUUUAAGUUUGAAAGAUGCAAUUGCAUCACUCAAAGAUGAUCCCGCGUUGUAUUAGCUAGUUGGUGAGGUAAAGGCUCACCAAGGCGAUGAUACAUAGCCGACCUGAGAGGGUGAUCGGCCACAUUGGGACUGAGACACGGCCCAAACGCCUACGGGAGGCAGCAGUAGGGAAUCUUCGGCAAGGGACGAAAGUCUGACCGAGCAACGCCGCGGGAGUGAAGAAGGGUGUCGGAUCGGAAAACUCUGUUGGUAGAGAAGAACGUUGGUGAGAGUGGAAAGCUCAUCAAGUGACGGUAACUACCCAGAAAGGGACGGCUAACUACGUG